CUGCAGCCCGAGUGGUGAUCGAUUUUAUUGAGCCUAAAGCGUCCGUAGCCGGACUAGUAAACCCUUGGGUAAAUUGGGCAGCUUAACUGUCCAAAUUCCGAGGGGACUGCUAGUCUUGGGACCGGGAGAGGUCAGAGGUACUCAAGGGGUAGGGGCUAAAUCCUGUAAUCCUUUGGGGACCACCAGUGGCGAAGGCGCCUGACUAGAACGGAUCCGACGGUAAGGGACGAAACCCUGGGGCGCGAACCGGAUUAGAGACCCGUGUAGUCC
rnacentral:rRNA from 1 species